GAUAACCAAGAGCAUGCUAUGUGUAUCAACAUUGGAGCUGCCAAAUAGAUUGGUUUUCUUUUUAAAAACUUAAGCUGGAACCAGGAAUUGAUUAUUGACCUCCCUUUAGAAUUUCAUUUUUCAUAAUGCAUUGAAUUUGUGCCCUGUCCAAAGCCUUGACUUUGGCACCUCCUUUUGGCAUGAUGGUUAUGCUUAAAAUACCUCUCCAGCAGUUUAAGCGGUUGCUCUUAGGCUUUCUCGGAUCUUCAUAUGGUCAAAGAUGCUGAUGCUGCUGUGAUUUGAAAGAGGAUAUCCUUGAAAGAAUCUGUCUCCCCAAAACUUUACAUUCGGUUUGAUACACCUUCAAACCCCAAGGGUUGGAGCACUUGAGAUGACUCAGCAGUUGAAGGGGCUUGGUGCCAAGCCUGAUGACGUAAGUUCAAUCCCUGGGGUCCACAUUGUUUAAGGAGAGAGUCAACUCCUGCGCUAUCCUCCGGCUUCAACGUUUGAGUCACAGAGUGCAUGCACCCACAUCUAUCUCCCCACCACACUAAAUAAAUAAAUACACACAUGUACAAAACAUUUUAAAAAGCUAGGAGUUACACAAACAAAUUGGCCUUUCCUCUGUGUGUGUGUGUGUGUGUGUAUGCGUGUAUGUAUAUGUGUGUAUGUAUGUGUGUGUAUAUAUGUGUGUCUGUGUGUGUCUGUGUGUGUGUGUGUGUGUGUGUGUGUGUGUGUACAUGAUCGAGGAUCUAACCUAGGUCUUUCCACAAGCAGCUGCUCUAACUCCUAAACAUUAUCCCUAACCCUAUUUUUAUUUCUGCUUUGUAGAAGGAUCUCAGUACGUUGGUCUACCCAGCCUGGACCUUGACACCCUCUUGCUUCUUCUUCCUGAGAAGCUGAGAUCACAGGCUGGUGACACUAUACCUGGCAGUCCAGGUAACUUUCAUAUAAGUGCACAAGCUGCUUACACACUGCAUGUCCAAUGUGCUUCUACUAUGUCUUUGCCUAGCAACAGAUUUUUGUUAUUCAUAAAUGCUUUAUGUUGCCCAGUAGUGGAGAUUAGUAAGGUAGCUUUCCCCACUCUUAUAAGUUUCAGGGCCUUCUCUGAAUAUCACUCAACAUACUGUUUUCAUUGCUCAAGGGCCAUUUACCGCAAAUCUGCUGAUGUUUGUCUGGUCUCAGAAAACCAGCCAGUUCUCAUUACGUCCAUAGGGCAGGUGUCAGCCAGCUGUUGGUCAAUAUUUUAGGUUUUAUGUGCCGAGUGACCAAAUGAGUGUGCUGGGAUAAGAAGGAAAACUCAUUUCCACAUUGUUUUCAAAACUCAAUUGAUAGAGAACACUGGUAUUUAUUUUUUUAUUUUUUGCAAUGCAAGUCUAUUAGUGAGAAAAAUGGAUGCGGGUGAUUGGCACUUUUUUGCUUAAUUGGGGUUCCGAGUUAGUAUUCCCUGUCGGGAAAGUCAUUGUAACAUGAAGUAGUCAGACCAUUUUUUCACUAAAAGGCCACACUGAAGUUAGAGCAGGCUGGAUUUGGCCCACAGGACGGUGAUUUGCCCUUCUUUUCAGUGGCUCUUCUUAAUUUAUGGUCCUGGCAGCCUUCUGAGUGUGUGUCACCGAGGUGGCUUAUUAUACCUGCGAAUGCCAGGGCCUCCCCCACGGCUUCUCAAGCUCUUUAGGUGGAGAUCUUGUUCUUAUGAUCACAGAUACAGUGUUCCCCCUGUCUGUAGGGAAUCCAUUGGGCUCUUCACCCUCAGAGUUCCCAUGGCUCAGCUCUCUCCCUUUUCAAACCUGGGUGCCUUUCAGGCACCCCCAGAGCUUAAAGCAUUAGAUCAUGCUUUCUGCCCUCAUCACAGCAUCCAACUGCACCCAAGCAUGGCCGUCCCUCUUGCCUUCCACUCUAGCCUUUGUUAUUUGAAACUUCCACUUGUCACAUGACAUCUGUGGUGACACGGCUCCCAGAUCUUAUCCUCUUAUAGUGGACACGAGUAAGAUUCUUAAAAGAGUCCUAACUCAGCUCCAUGGGUGGGUGACUUCUUCAGGCCUGCUGGUUGUCUGUUGGCGAGUGUGCCCAUGCUUUGGGGGAUGUAUGGACAACCUUGGGAACACGGUUACGUGAGUACGAGCUUGCAGUGGGCAAGGGCAAGAAUCUAGUGGUCUUGGAGGUAUGAGGGAGCUGAAGAGGAAUGUUCCCACAGGACCCCUAGGUAUUGCGAUGAGUGUCUCAAAAGCCUAUGGGAUUGAAGACCUGAUCUCUUUCUGUCUGUGGAUGGAUGAUGGGUAAGUGAUGUCACUGGUGAGCAGGCCUGAGUGAGUUAACUUCAUAUUCACUUUACACUUCUCAGUAGUGAGACUGUUCCAGACACACACAGAGACAGUGACAGAGACACAGAGAGAGACAAACACUCACAGAGACACAUGCAGAUACACUCAUAUACACACAUUCACAGAGAGAGAAAGAGACAAACACACACAUAGACACACAUACACACCCACAGACAGACACACAGACAAGCACACACAUAGACACACAGACACACACACACAGAAAGACAAAUGCACACAAAAACCACACAAACACACACAUAGACACACAAACACAAAGAUACACAGACAGACAGACACACAUACAAACACAUGCACACUCACACACACACACACAUAGAUACACACAGAUACGCACAUACACAAAGACAAACAUACACAGACAGAUACACACAGAGACACACAGAGACACACACACACACACACACACACACACACACACGCGCGCGCGCGCAGAGAAACAAACACACAGAUAAACACACACAGACAAACACACACACAGCUACACACAGUCACACAGAAACACACAGACACACAGGCAUACACACACACACUCACUCACCAAUGCUUUUCAGUAGCUGUUGUCCUUACAGAAUUUCUGAUCCCUUCUACCCCCUCCCCCAGUUCUCCCCUGUUCCUGCCCCUGCUUGCCCCAACAAACCCUCCUGUGUUGUCACAUCCUUUGGGAUUGAUGGCUACAUUUACACUGUAGCCUAUGCCUCUCAAUCUCUGGAAAAUCUCCACAAUGGUCUGAAUUGCUAAAGCAUUUACAUGGAUUCUAAGUGCUUAUCUUUAAUUCAUCAUAUCAAAAUAGAAAAAAAAAGAUUCCCCUCACAAUGUGCUUCCCUUUCUAACUCGUUUUAAACAGUCGCUCGCCUGUUUUCUCCUCUCACAGGCCCUGAGCGUGUAUUCAUUACUCCUUAUCACUCUUCCCCAGUGUCUGAAUUCUUCAAAUACUUUACCCACUUAUUUUAGAGCCAUCACAUUAUUAAAAAUUACAAUUAUAUUUAUGUGAUGUGAUGCUUACUAGAGUUCAUCUCAUUUCUGGAAUGGUGCGACUUGGAGCAUAGUUUGAACAUUUUAAAAAGUCUUCUGUGUGUUUCUUUGAGGUAGGUGGGUGUACAUGCAGGGCACACAUAUGAGGGGUCAGUGACAAUGUUUAUGAGUGCACUCCCUCCUUCCCUGCCAUACGGGUACGGCCUGCAGAGGUGGCCUUGUGUCUCGAAGUCAUCAGGUGCUUCGUUGGCUGGCUGGCUCUGGGCGGAGUUGUUGACGUGAUAUUUCUCCCUUUCUUCCUUUCUCAUUCCUUAUGUGUCAUCAUCUUAAUAAUACCCUCAAGUCGCUUUGCUCCUGGAGCUCUGAUAUCAGCUAAGGCUCUCAAUACUUGCUAACCAGGCAGGUAUCUUCACCUCAUUCCCAUGAUCCUUCCCUGGACUGUGUGUUCUCUCUUUAAGGUCUUUUCACACCUGCCCCACUCUAUUCUUUUAGCCCAUGUUCUUUCUAUGUUAGAUUUUAUUUGUACCCCUCGCUUAGCCUGGCUACCUUCCUUCCAAGAUUGUGGUUCCCAGCAGAGAAGAGGACAUUCCAUGCAAAAAAAAAAAAAAAGUGUUGUGUUUUUCACCCCAGGAAUAUCUCAUCUGGCUCUUUACAUUUGCCCCUUUAACUGGAGGUGACCACGGCAGGCCAGUCACUCACUGUUUGUCCAUAUGCCACCCUCUUCCCUGUAGGUGACCUCUAGUAAGUGGCGUGCUACACAGAGUGACUCAGGGGCAGCCUGUCAAGGAGGGUCCUGCUCUUGGUACCAUCCCUCAAUGUCUCUCCGGAAGUCUAUCCUCAUCCCCAGCAGAGGUGGCCUUGUGACUCUUCAAGUUUAUUUGCUUCUCUGGGAUGAGACUGAGAGCUCUAAGUCUUUUGGGGAGCAAGGAGACACCACGAACAUUAAUAAAGCUCUUUGAACCAAUGGCUGAAAGCUGUGACUCCUGUUACCAAGAAGAACAAGCACAUUAUGUGGACUCUUUCAUUUUGCCUUUUGUCUAUUUUUUUUUUUUGGUAGGAAUCAAAGAUAAUGUUUUUGAAGGCAGAUGCUAAUAAGUUAGAUCCAGAUGUGCUUCUAUGAUUAACUCUGUUGUAAUUAAAUAUUAACCACUACAGCAUGUCUUCUAUGUAUGCGGUGAUUCCCUGUCUGACUGGAUGAUACGGUUGCAUUGUAUACAAAGGCAUAUUAAAAAUCAGGCGGCAGUCUGAAGUUGAGAAGAAAGUUGGUGUGAUUAUGAAAAUAAACUCACCAUGUCAAUUACUUGAGAUCUGGCAGAUUCUUAGGGAGCCAACUGUACGACCAUCUAUAAAAACUACCGCUCAAAUAGUUAAACUUACUGAUUUGUAGAAAGACACUGAAUCCUUGCGUCCUGAAACAUGGCUAUUUUUGAGGGA
rnacentral:lncRNA from 1 species